rnacentral:rRNA from 1 species
UAUUGGGCAAGCGGGGAAACCCUGACGCAGCCACGCCGCGCGAGUGGGGAAGGACUUCGGUCUGUAAAGGUAUGUUAAUUUGCAAACCCGGUCCCCGGUUUAAUAGGCCGAAGAUUUGAUGGUACACAUAGAGGAAGCCCCGGCUAACUUCGUGCCAGCAGCCGCGGUAAUACGAAGGGGGCAAGCGUUGUUCGGAUUUAUUGGGCGUAAAGCGCGCGCAGGCGGACCUGUAAGUCAGAUGUGAAAUCUCGGGGCUCAACCUGGAAAGUGCGUCUGAAACUGCAGGUCUAGAAUCUUGGAGGGGGAAGGGGAAUUUCGCAUGUAGGGGUAAAAUCCGUAGAUAUGGGAAGGAACACCAGAGGCGAAGGCGCCUUCCUGGGCAGAGUAUUGACGCUGAGGCGCGAAA